UACAUGGGGUGCAACCGUUGCUCGGAAUUAUUGGGCGUAAAGCGCGCGUAGGCGGUUAUCUAAGUCGGAUGUGAAAGCCCUCGGCUUAACUGAGGAAGUGCACCCGAAACUGGAUAGCUAGAGUACGAAAGAGGGUCGCGGAAUUCCCGGUGUAGAGGUGAAAUUCGUAGAUAUCGGGAGGAACACCGGUGGCGAAGGCGGCGACCUGGGUCGAGACUGACGCUGAGGCGCGAAAGCGUGGGGAGCAAACAGG
rnacentral:rRNA from 1 species